rnacentral:lncRNA from 1 species
GUGAUCUUGACAUCCACACCCUCCCAUGAUCACUUUGAGCCAGAGACAGACAUCAACAGGAGUGGACUUGCUGAUGUCAGCUAUCUGCCUUGUUGUCAUGGUUUGCUUAGAAGAAAGAUCAGAAGCUCCAAUCAAGGCUCUGCUUCCCCUAGAUUAACUCAAGCAGGGAAUUCACAGAUUUUGGGGUUCUCCAUUUUCUUUCCUUUACUCCACCCAAAUCAUUUAACUUCUUUUCUCUUUCCUUUCCUUUUCCUUUUCCUUUUCUUUCCUUUUCUUUCCUUCUUUCUUUCCUUCUUUCCUUCCUUUCUUUCUUUCUUUCUUUCCUUCCUUCCUUCCUUCCUUCCUUUUCUUUCUUUCUUUCUUUCUUUCUUUCUUUCUUUCUUUCUUUCUUUCUUUCUUCUUUCCUUCCUACGCGUUCCUUCCUUCCUUCCUUCCUUCCUUCCUUCC